UAAAUAAUUAAAAACUAUUUAAAAAUUUUAAGAAUUAAGAACCGUUAUUUCUCUCAACUUCAGCUACAAAACAUCGUCUCCUUGUCGACCCAAAUUCAUAGUGAAGAGAGAUUUUCAUCUCCAUUUAUCUUUUUCUUUUAGGGUUCCAAGACAUCAUCUUCUGCCGCCAUUUCUGUCGGCCUCCUUCCCCCGACUCAGUUGUGGAUUCCCUUCCCACCACCAGGAUAAAAUCAGUGUGAUAGCAAUUCUUGGAAGAGUAUGGUAUCUCAUUAGAUUGGCCGAAGUUUGUCACUCAUAAGACACAAGUGAGUCAUCGAUGAUCCCUUCUUCCUCCUCCCUCAACUGCUAGCUUAUUUGAUAUGCUCCUCUCUCUUUCUCUUGUCAGUGACUUUUGAUUUUAUGGUGAUGUUCUUUUAUGAAGAAGAUUGCUCUAUGCAAGUUCUAUGAACUUC